GACGAACGCUGGCGGCAGGCCUAACACAUGCAAGUCGAACGAGUGGCGGACGGGUGAGUAAUGUCUGGGAAACUGCCUGAUGGAGGGGGAUAAAUACUGGAAACGGUAGCUAAUAACGCCUACCAUCAGAUGUGCCCAGAUGGGAUUAGCUAGUUGGUGGGGUAAUGGCUCACCAAGGCGACGAUCCCUAGCUGGUCUGAGAGGAUGACCAGCAACACUGGAACUGGGACACGGUCCAGACUCCUACGGGAGGCAGCAGUGGGGAAUAUUGCACAAUUGGCGCAAGCCGGAUGCAGCCAUGCCGCGUGUGUGAAGAAGGCCUUCGGGUUGUAAAGCACUUGCAGCGAGGAGGCGUUACUCGCAGAAGAAGCACAGGCUAACUCCGUGCGAGCCGCCGCGGUAAUAC
rnacentral:rRNA from 1 species